ACCCGAACCGGAAAUGACCCAAAAAUACAAGUUCGGGUCCAGGUCUGGGUCCAUGCUAAGUACCUAUUGGGAUUUUUUUGGAUCUGCGGGUAUCGGUUCGGGUCCGGGUUGAUACGCCCUAAAAUAGAAAAGGAUCACUCAAUCGGACUAAAGGGAUAUGAACUCGCCAAAAUGGAGAACUGAUGGAUUCAACGGUGACACAAUGAGUUACGGAUGGCCCAAUAAUACUACCAGACUUCAGUUGGUGCUUGAUAUGACUCACAAGUCCAUCAAAAGAA
rnacentral:lncRNA from 1 species